rnacentral:rRNA from 1 species
UACGUAGGGACCAAGCGUUAUUCGGAUUUACUGGGCUUAAAGGGUUCGUAGGCGGCGUGGAAAGUGGGGUGUGAAAGCCCUCGGCUCAACCGAGGAAUUGCGCUCCAAACUGCCAUGCUUGAGGGACCUAGAGGUGAGCGGAACUGAUGGUGGAGCGGUGAAAUGCGUUGAUAUCAUCAGGAACACCGGAGGCGAAGGCGGCUCACUGGGGGUCUUCUGACGCUGAGGAACGAAAGCCAGGGGAGCGAACGGG